rnacentral:rRNA from 1 species
GUUGGGUAGGGGAGCGUUCUGUAAGCCUGUGAAGGUGGCCUGUGAGGGUUGCUGGAGGUAUCAGAAGUGCGAAUGCUGACAUAAGUAACGAUAAAGCGGGUGAAAAGCCCGCUCGCCGGAAGACCAAGGGUUCCUGUCCAACGUUAAUCGGGGCAGGGUGAGUCGACCCCUAAGGCGAGGCCGAAAGGCGUAGUCGAUGGGAAACGGGUUAAUAUUCCCGUACUUGGUGUUACUGCGAAGGGGGGACGGAGAAGGCUAUGUUGGCCGGGCGACGGUUGUCCCGGUUUAAGCGUGUAGGUGUGUGUUCCAGGUAAAUCCGGUUCACUUUAACACUGAGGCGUGAUGACGAGGCACUACGGUGCUGAAGCAACAAAUGCCCUGCUUCCAGGAAAAGCCUCUAAGCAUCAGGUAACAUCAAAUCGUACCCCAAACCGACACAGGUGGUCAGGUAGAGAAUACCAAGGCGCUUGAGAGAACUCGGGUGAAGGAACUAGGCAAAAUGGUGCCGUAACUUCGGGAGAAGGCACGCUGACACGUAGGUGAAGUGAUUUACUCAUGGAGCUGAAGUCAGUCGAAGAUACCAGCUGGCUGCAACUGUUUAUUAAAAACACAGCACUGUGCAAACACGAAAGUGGACGUAUACGGUGUGACGCCUGCCCGGUGCCGGAAGGUUAAUUGAUGGGGUCAGCGCAAGCGAAGCUCCUGAUCGAAGCCCCGGUAAACGGCGGCCGUAACUAUAACGGUCCUAAGGUAGCGAAAUUCCUUGUCGGGUAAGUUCCGACCUGCACGAAUGGCGUAAUGAUGGCCAGGCUGUCUCCACCCGAGACUCAGUGAAAUUGAACUCGCUGUGAAGAUGCAGUGUACCCGCGGCAAGACGGAAAGACCCCGUGAACCUUUACUAUAGCUUGACACUGAACAUUGAGCCUUGAUGUGUAGGAUAGGUGGGAGGCUUUGAAGUGUGGACGCCAGUCUGCAUGGAGCCGGCCUUGAAAUACCACCCUUUAAUGUUUGAUGUUCUAACGUGGACCCGUGAUCCGGGUUGCGGACAGUGUCUGGUGGGUAGUUUGACUGGGGCGGUCUCCUCCUAAAGAGUAACGGAGGAGCACGAAGGUUGGCUAAUCCUGGUCGGACAUCAGGAGGUUAGUGCAAUGGCAUAAGCCAGCUUGACUGCGAGCGUGACGGCGCGAGCAGGUGCGAAAGCAGGUCAUAGUGAUCCGGUGGUUCUGAAUGGAAGGGCCAUCGCUCAACGGAUAAAAGGUACUCCGGGGAUAACAGGCUGAUACCGCCCAAGAGUUCAUAUCGACGGCGGUGUUUGGCACCUCGAUGUCGGCUCAUCACAUCCUGGGGCUGAAGUAGGUCCCAAGGGUAUGGCUGUUCGCCAUUUAAAGUGGUACGCGAGCUGGGUUUAGAACGUCGUGAGACAGUUCGGUCCCUAUCUGCCGUGGGCGCUGGAGAACUGAGGGGGGCUGCUCCUAGUACGAGAGGACCGGAGUGGACGCAUCACUGGUGUUCGGGUUGUCAUGCCAAUGGCACUGCCCGGUAGCUAAAUGCGGAAGAGAUAAGUGCUGAAAGCAUCUAAGCACGAAACUUGCCCCGAGAUGAGUUCUCCCUGAGACUUUAGGUCUCCUGAAGGAACGUUGAAGACGACGACGUUGAUAGGCCGGGUGUGUAAGCGCAGCGAUGCGUUGAGCUAACCGGUACUAAUGAACCGUGAGGCUUAACCUU